rnacentral:rRNA from 1 species
CCUACGGGAGGCAGCAGUGGGGAAUAUUGGGCAAUGGGCGCAAGCCUGAUGCAGCAACGCCGCGUGAAGGAAGAAGGCUUUCGGGUUGUAAACUUCUUUUGUCGGGGAAGAGGGGAAGACGGUACCUGACGAAUAAGCCACGGCUAACUACGUGCCAGCAGCCGGGGUAAUACGGAGGUGGCAAGCGCUGUCCGGAUUUACUGGGUGGAAAGCGCGUGAAGUCGGGUUGACAAGUCAGAUGUGAAAUCCUGCGGCUUAACCGGAGAACUGCAUUUGAAACUGUCGAUCUUGAGUACUGGAGAGGCAGGCGGAAUUCCUAGUGUAGCGGUGAAAUGCGUAGAUAUUAGGAGGAACACCAGUGGCGAAGGCGGUCCGCUGGACAGCAACUGACGGUGAGGUGCGAAAGCGUGGGGAGCAAACAGGAUUAGAUACCCGGGUAGUC